rnacentral:rRNA from 1 species
GGGGAAUAUUGCACAAUGGGCGCAAGCCUGAUGCAGCAACGCCGCGUGAAUGAUGAAGGCCUUCGGGUCGUAAAGUUCUGUCCAAAGGGAAGAAUACAGUGACGGUACCUUUGGAGGAAGCCCCGGCUAACUACGUGCCAGCAGCCGCGGUAAUACGUAGGGGGCAAGCGUUAUCCGGAAUCACUGGGCGUAAAGGGAGCGUAGGCGGUUUGACAAGCCAGAGGUGAAAGGCAAUAGCUUAACUAUUGUAAGCCUUUGGAACUGUCGAACUUGAGUGCAGGAGAGGAAAGUGGAAUUCCUAGUGUAGCGGUGAAAUGCGUAGAUAUUAGGAGGAACACCAGUGGCGAAGGCGACUUUCUGGACUGUAACUGACGCUGAGGCUCGAAAGCGUGGGGAGCGAAC